CCUACGGGGGGCAGCAGUGAGGAAUAUUGGUCAAUGGGCGCGAGCCUGAACCAGCCAAGUAGCGUGAAGGAUGACUGCCCUACGGGUUGUAAACUUCUUUUAUAAAGGAAUAAAGUGAGGCACGUGUGCCUUUUUGUAUGUACUUUAUGAAUAAGGAUCGGCUAACUCCGUGCCAGCAGCCGCGGUAAUACGGAGGGUCCGAGCGUUAUCCGGAUUUAUUGGGUUUAAAGGGGGCGUAGAUGGGUUGUUAAGUCAGUUGUGAAAAUUUGCGGCUCAACCGUAAAAUUGCAAUUGAAACUGGGAGUCUUGAGUAGGGUUGAGGUAGGCGGAAUGCGUGGUGUAGCGGUGAAAUGCUUAGAUAUCACGAAGAACUCCGAUUGCGAAGGCAGCUUACUGAAGUGCAACUGACAUUGAUGCUCGAAGGUGUGGGUAUCGAACAGGAUUAGAUACCCUUGUAGUC
rnacentral:rRNA from 1 species